CCUACGGGGGGCAGCAGUGAGGAAUAUUGGUCAAUGGUCGGGAGACUGAACCAGCCAAGCCGCGUGAGGGAUGAAGGUACAGAGUAUCGUAAACCUCUUUUGUCAGGGAACAAAGGCGGGGACGUGUCCCCGGAUGAGUGUACCUGAAGAAAAAGCAUCGGCUAACUCCGUGCCAGCAGCCGCGGUAAUACGGAGGAUGCGAGCGUUAUCCGGAUUUAUUGGGUUUAAAGGGUGCGCAGGCGGUCUGUUAAGUCAGCGGUAAAAGCCCGGGGCUCAACCCCGGCACGCCGUUGAAACUGGCAGUCUCGAGUUGGAGAGAAGUAUGCGGAAUGCGCGGUGUAGCGGUGAAAUGCAUAGAUAGCGCGCAGAACUCCGAUUGCGAAGGCAGCAUGCCGGCUCCACACUGACGCUGAGGCACGAAAGCGUGGGUAUCGAACAGGAUUAGAUACCCUUGUAGUC
rnacentral:rRNA from 1 species